rnacentral:rRNA from 1 species
UACGAAGGGGGCUAGCGUUGCUCGGAAUCACUGGGCGUAAAGGGUGCGUAGGCGGGUCUUUAAGUCAGGGGUGAAAUCCUGGAGCUCAACUCCAGAACUGCCUUUGAUACUGAAGAUCUUGAGUUCGGGGAGAGGUGAGUGGAACUGCGAGUGUAGAGGUGAAAUUCGUAGAUAUUCGCAAGAACACCAGUGGCGAAGGCGGCUCACUGGCUCGAUACUGACGCUGAGGUGCGAAAGCGUGGGGGAGCAAACAGG